AAAUGGAAAUGUCUCUCCAUCCUGCACUGAGGAGCACUGAGGAGCGAUCAUCAGGGAAGUGAAAAGGGAGAGGAGAAGCACAGAUGCUGCCACCACAGCUGGGCACAGCCUCUGGCAUGGGGAAUCACCCAUGGAUCCGACCCCCAUGGAUACAUCCAGGAGCACUGCACACUGGGGUGCAGCUUCAGCCAGGCCAAGAAAGCCACACAAGGCAUGCAAAGUUUUGGAAGAGAGCCCAGAUAUAACACCAAAUAAGAGGAAUCAGGCCCUAAGGUGAUUGAAAAACCUGAAGAACAGACUACCGCGUUUCUAGAGGACCUAUAUUUUCCAAAUAAAAGAAGCACAAGC